UUGCAUAACUACAAUUCCCAACAUGCCCUUCGGCUAUAAGUGCAUGCUGAAGGCACACUGGUUGCAAAACACUGAGUUUGUUACCUAACUCAGUGUUUCACAACCGGUGUGCCU